AGGACGACGCUGGCGGCGUGCUUAAUACAUGCAAGUCGAGCGAGGCCUUGGAAUUGGAGUCCUUCGGGAUGAAGAGUCCUUGGCCUAGCGGCGGACGGGUGAGUAACGCGUGGGCAACCUGCCCCAAAGUCCGGGAUAACAGUGGGAAACCGCUGCUAAUACCGGAUGGCUUUACCUGAGGGCAUCCUUGGGUAAAGAAAGGUUACGCUUUGGGAUGGGCCCGCGUCCCAUUAGCUAGUUGGUGAGGUAACGGCUCACCAAGGCGACGAUGGGUAGCCGGCCUGAGAGGGUGAACGGCCACACUGGGACUGAGACACGGCCCAGACUCCUACGGGAGGCAGCAGUAGGGAAUAUUGCGCAAUGGGCGGAAGCCUGACGCAGCGACGCCGCGUGAGCGAAGAAGGCCUUCGGGUCGUAAAGCUCUGUCCUUGGGGAAGAAGGCGAAAGCUUGACGGUACCCAAGAAGAAAGCCCCGGCUAACUACGUG
rnacentral:rRNA from 1 species